AUUAUCAUUAUUUACUAAUUUUAUUAUUUUAAUUAUUAUUAUUACCUUUAUUAUUAUUUGAAGUGAUUCGGCCAACCGUGUCUACUUCCACGCCUUUAAGCUCACCGGACUUAGGGAUUUCACUAAGUGAGCCUCCAAGACUUCAACAACACUUACAAUUGACUUCCAAUGUGUCAAUAGACCUUUAUAACAAGAGAUUGUCUUCAAUCUCUUAACCUAAGUGUAUCUCAAUACUUACAAUCACUCAAGAAUGAAUAUUACAAGUGAAUUUUCUCUCACACAAUAUAGGUGUUUUACAAAAUGAAAGUUCAAUGUGUGAAUUAAUGAAAUUCUAACAAAUUUAAAGCUCAAUAAUGGUUAUAAACUCAGUAGUAAGCUCAAUGAUAACUGUUGGAUCUCUCUUUGUUUGAAUUUGAUUGAGUCAUUUUAUAGUUGGAGCUGAAAACUAGUUGUUGUUAACUUUCUGAGAAUAAUCGGAUCGCCGUUAAUUGCUAUCAAUUCAUAGUUUUGACUUGUCCAAGUGACUGUUAUGCUGAGAUUUUAAAUAGUCGGUUAACCAUUUGGAGUUAUCGGUUAGCCGUUUAUUUCCAGAAACCUGCAAAACAAAUGUGGCUAAUUGUUUAUGCUAAAUGAUUCACGAUUACAAACCAAUUCCUCUUUGGAAAUUAUUGUUGAGUGUUAGAAAAUGUAUAUUUAUAAGGAGAAAAUCGUCAUUUUAUAUUUCAAGUCUUACUAACACCCUUACUUUUAUGUAUUUAAGCUUCUUGUGAUUUAAUUACAUGUGUUUUAUUUUAAUUAAGUAUUUUAUGUAUUUUAAGGGCAUCAUGGUUAUUUCACAAUGAAUGAGAAAUCAGACGGCAAAACUGACAUCACUUUUGAACUCAGGACAGUCGAAAACCUUAGGAGGAGUAUAAAAGAAAAAAUAUCAUUGUUCACAUGUACGACACUAUUCACAUGUACGAUAUUGUCCAUAAUACUGUUCACGACACUAUUCAUACAUACGGAAUGAUGACAUGGCAUUGACCAAUGAUGUGGCAUUGACUGAUGAGGUGUCACGAUUCUAUUAGACAAAAUUUAUAUACAUUGUUGAUCGGUGACGUGCCAGCAUGUUAGUGGACCAAAAAUCGCGCGUACGGUAUAUGUAUAUACACUGGAUUAUUUUCAACCAAACCGCGUCACUGUUCAAGCCGGUUGAUUGUUCAAACCGCGUGAUCAAACCGUGUCACUGUUCAAACCGCGUGGUCAAACUACGUACUAUUGACUGAUGACAUGGCGCAAUCCUGAGCGUCCAAACUGUUUUUAAUCUGAUGGCCAUGAUUUGCUCAAUGUAUCUAUAAAAAGGGGGCCUCCGCCCUAAUUUGAUAUCGACGAAUCCAUUUUUGGGCUCCAUUUUCUGUAAUUCAUUCUCAAUCUUGUAUUUUCUAUGUAUUUUAACAUUUUCUGUAAUUCAUUCUCCAUCUUGUAUUUUCUAUGUAUUUUAAUAAAUUUCCAUUUUACACCGAAUUCAAUUAUGAGUAGCUAAUUUUUUUUCAAACUUAGGUUGAAAGUGAAGUUUCAACAUGUGCCAUGGGCUUUAUUUGAUAAAUUUAUUUUCUCUUCCCCUCUAAUUAUUGUGGAUGUUUUGACUUUUUAUCAACAAAUAAUAAUAACAUUGUGUAGAUACCGCCCUGGUUUCACCGGCUCCUUAGUACAAGGUUAUUAUUAUUUGGCACGAUAAGCCCUUAGCACCAUAUUGAUUAGAGUGUGGUUCAUGAGGUGUGGAUACCCCCCUCAUGAUUUAAUUAGCACUAAUAAUGAAUAUUUAGCCCAUGGUGCUUGUUGAUACGGAUCCAGAUACCCAAGUGCUUCAUUUCAAUAGAUUUCUCUUUAAUUUAUUCUUGCCAUUUUAAUUUAAAUUUUAGAAUAUUCCAAAUAAUUUUCACUACAAAUUCAAUCACCCAUUUAGAAAAAUUAAUUCUACACACAAUUAAAAUCCACCUCCUCGUGAGAUCGACACUCGUCACCAUUAGUCUAUUCUACAAUAGAUUCGUCCACUUGCGAGUUUAAUAAAAUUUGCACAACAAUUAUCGAUUAGCCGUUUUAAGUAAACGGUUCACUGUUAUUUUUCAGAAUCAACAUUAACACAACUCUUUGUAGAAAACGAUUUUCCGAUUUAAAAAUUAACAGUCAUCUGCUUAUUACCAUAUUCUUAAACUUGUCUAAAAUAUUAUACGGCUUUAAGAGUUUGUUUAAUAUUAAUAGCU
rnacentral:lncRNA from 1 species